AUUGAACGCUGGCUGCAGGCCUAACACAUGCAAGUCGAACGAGUGGCGGACGGGUUAGUAAUGUCUGGGACACUGCCUGAUGGAGGGGGAUAACUCCUGGAAACGGUAGCUAAUACCUCAUACCAUCAUAUGUGCCCAGAUGGGAUUAGCUUGUUGGUGGGGUAACGGCUCACCAAGGCGACGAUCCCUAGCUGGUCUGAGAGGAUGACCAGCCACACUGGAACUGAGAAACGGUCCAGACUCCAACGGGAGGCAGCAGUGGGGAAUAUUGCACAAUGGGGGCAAGCCUGAUGCAGCCAUGCCGCGUGUAUGAAGAAGGCCUUCGGGUUGUAAAGUACUUUCAGCGGGGAGGCGUUACCCGAAGAAGAAGCACCGGCUAACUCCGUGACAGCAGCCGAGGUAAUAC
rnacentral:rRNA from 1 species